rnacentral:rRNA from 1 species
GACGAACGCUGGCGGCGUGCUUAACACAUGCAAGUCGAACGGAAAGGCCCUGCUUUUGUGGGGUGCUCGAGUGGCGAACGGGUGAGUAACACGUGAGUAACCUGCCCUUGACUUUGGGAUAACUUCAGGAAACUGGGGCUAAUACCGGAUAGGAGCUCCUGCUGCAUGGUGGGGGUUGGAAAGUUUCGGCGGUUGGGGAUGGACUGGCGGCUUAGCAGCUUGGUGGUGGGGUAGUGGAGUACCAAGGCGGUGAUGGGUAGCCGGCCUGAGAGGGCGACCGGCGGCAGGGGGACGGAGGCAGGGCCCAGACGCCGGCGGGAGGCAGCAGUGGGGAAGUGUGGACAAGGGGGGGGAGCCGGAUCCAGCAAUGCCGCGUGCGGGAAGAAGGCCGUCGGGUUGUAAACCGCGUUUGUACGGAACGAAAAGGCUCUGGCGAAUACCUGGGGCUGAUGACGGUACCGUAAGAAGAAGCACCGGCUAACUACGUG